rnacentral:lncRNA from 1 species
GAUGUAUUAUAGAUUUAUAUAUGACCAGAUGAGUUCAGUUGUAAAACUCGCCAUCAUCAUGACUCCCUUGCUUUUCCACCGGAUGGGACUAGGCCGAAACGGGCAAGGUGCCUGACCUUCGAGGAAAAGACAGAACUAACUGAAGUGUCACCUCAGAGGAUAAUAAAUCUGGCAUAGAGGUAAAGAUCAAAGGGGUAUGUACAUAGACAGGUCCCUCCGCUGAGCCAACCUGGGCCUCGACGGCGCCAAAUGGAGGAGGAGAAAUUUCCUAUUAAAAAGAUGGCUAAUAGCCUAAUACCCAACAUUGCUUCAGCUUUGGAUACAAUUCAUAUUUAAGCCAGCAAAAGGAAAGGGGAUUCAUUAAUUUGGAAAUUAGAUCGAAAUUCCAAGCAAUUUGCCAAUAUGUAUCUGUUAAAAGAAUGGGUUAGAAGAGAAAAAUAUAUAAAAAGGCUCCAAUUCUAAAGCUCAGGAAAAAAAGGACUACCUGAAAGUGAAAGCCAAGAGAGGAAGACUAAUGACAGCGUUUAAUUUGCCUGAUAAGAGAAGAAUUAUGCGACUGAAAGGGAUUGUCCCAGCUAGCUGUUUCGGGCCCUGAAACGAGCUCACCUCCCCAUCGACUCUUCCCGCCAAAACCGCUGAGACCGCCGUGUCAAGUGGCGGUUUCAGACUCAGACACGGGCGCACCUCCCAACCAACACGACACCCACCGACACUUCCUGCCAAAACCCCCUUCUUCUACUGCUGCAACCGCCGAGUAAGAUGGCGGUUUCAGACCCCGACACGGGCGCACCUGCCAACCACCACAAACACCCAUCGACUCUUCCCGCAAAACCCAACACUCCCCUCAAUGUAAACCAAAAGACCCAAAUGCCAUCUUCAUUUAUUUUUCAUCGAAAUUUUAGUUUCUUAUUAAAAAGAAGAAGAAAAAAAAUGAUAUAAUAUUUAUCAACAAUUUUGGGUUCUUUUUCUGGUAAGUCAUUUUAUUUUAGUUUAAAAUUUUUUUAC